rnacentral:rRNA from 1 species
GACGAACCGUGCGAACGUUGUUCGGAAUCACUGGGCUUAAAGGGUGCGUAGGCGGCCCGUUAAGUCAGUGGUGAAAGCCUCCAGCUCAACUGGAGAACUGCCAUUGAUACUGGCGGGCUUGAGUACAGACGAGGUUGGCGGAAUUGAUUGUGUAGCGGUGAAAUGCAUAGAUACAAUCAAGAACACCGAUUGCGUAGGCAGCUAACUAGGCUGUAACUGACGCUGAGGCACGAAAGCGUGGGGAGCGAACAGG